AGAGUGCAGUGUUGCAACACGUAGUCAAUUGAGGAAUAGAUAAAGAGAAAAGGUAAACAAUGCAUGUGCUUUGCGUGGAAAAUAAGUGGAAAGACACUAAAUAAAAAAGAGACAAGCACUUGCAGUAAUAACAAUACAGGUAAGUAGUAGACUGGAGUGGAGACGACGGAAAAACAGGUAAUAAAAGAGAUACUACACUGGAACAAGACGAGACAAAACAGCUACAGGGAAGACUAGAAGCAUCGGCCGGCAUAGCAAAACACAAUGCUUGUAAAGACAUUGCGUUGCAUACCGGCCGACCCCGUCGUCCCCCCUGGUCGUCGAGAUUGGCGUCAUCCAGAGUCGUCAGAGGUAGCUGCAAUUAGCACCUCGUCGUCGUUGUGGCUUUGGCUGCCCUCUUGGAGAACCAGUGGCACUGGUCCGGCCACCAGUUGGGAGCCAGGAGUAGUCGGCACACAUAUCACUGUGGCGACACGGGUCCGGCCGCCAAAGUGAAGUGGAUGUGAGUGUGUGUGUGCGUCGGCAAUUGUGGCCCUAAUGUAGAGCAAGUGGCACUGUUCCGGCCACCAGCUAUGGGCAAUGGUGGACAAUGACACACAUACUCGAUCGGCACAGGUCCGGCCGCCCAAGUGUAAUGGAUGUGUGUGUGUGUGUGUGUCUGAGUGGCUGGCGGUCCAUAGGGCACUCUGAAUGCCAUGGCACUGGAUCCGGCCACCAACUAAGGACGAUGGCGGACACGACACACAUCUACACGAACGGCACAGGUCCGGCCGCCCAAGUGUAAUGGAUGUUUGUGUGUGUGUGUGUCUGAGUGGCAGGCGUGGCAGAGAUGUGUCCAAUUAGUACACAGCGUUCCAGGAUAUCUGGUUGUCAAGAAGGUACCUCAUGUUGCGGGCGUAGGCCUUAAUGCCAUCCAUGGAGUCGUCAUCUGUCCACAUCUCAUCGUCAUCAUUUUCUUCAUCCGUUUCAGGAUCCGUCUCUGGAGUGGCGGCUGGCGU
rnacentral:sRNA from 1 species